AUUGAACGCUGGCGGCAGGCCUAACACAUGCAAGUCGAACGGUAGCACAGAGAGCUUGCUCUCGGGUGACGAGUGGCGGACGGGUGAGUAAUGUCUGGGAAACUGCCCGAUGGAGGGGGAUAACUACUGGAAACGGUAGCUAGUACCGCAUAACGUCGCAAGACCAAAGUGGGGGACCUUCGGGCCUCACACCAUCGGAUGUGCCCAGAUGGGAUUAGCUAGUAGGUGGGGUAAUGGCUCACCUAGGCGACGAUCCCUAGCUGGUCUGAGAGGAUGACCAGCCACACUGGAACUGAGACACGGUCCAGACUCCUACGGGAGGCAGCAGUGGGGAAUAUUGCACAAUGGGCGCAAGCCUGAUGCAGCCAUGCCGCGUGUAUGAAGAAGGCCUUCGGGUUGUAAAGUACUUUCAGCAGGGAGGAAGGCGGUGAAGUUAAUAGCUUCACCGAUUGACGUUACCCGCAGAAGAAGCACCGGCUAACUCCGUGCCAGCCGCCGCCGUAA
rnacentral:rRNA from 1 species